ensembl:lncRNA
CCAGGGUGGAGCCCCUGGGCUCCUAUAAGGGCAGCCACUGAAGGGAGAGCAUCCCUUGGACCUAGGAUGCUUCUAGAGAUGAAAUGCUGUAUGGCCAGAGAGCUUCUUCACCAGUUGGUUGAGUUUGGCUUUUCUUUCUGUAUGUGACUAUUGGUCUACUUGUGAAUUCUCUACCUAGUAUUGCCAAGGACCUGGCAGAAGCAAUUUUCCUUCUUCAUAUAACAGAACAGAUAACCCUUUUUGUUAAGGUAAAUAGAAACCAGGGUUUCCAUGGGCCAUCAACGCAUGUCAAGUCAAAAGCUCUUUCUGCUCUGAAAUAUACAGUCCGUUCCCUUUUUGCUACAGCUCUACGUAAGAGACAUGGAACUCAUUUGGAUGCAGUUCAAAUAACAAUGUCACUUUCUGACUGCCUCAAGGAUCUGACAGGAGGAAUUGAGUAUGCUGCCAAGAUAUUAAAUGAAAUUCCCCAGAAAGACAUUCAGUGCACUAAAAGAGCCUCAAAGGCAGAAAGGGAAGGAAAUGGGCAAGAAGCUGGAAUAGCUGAAAUGGUUCACAGACUCCAAUCCAAGUGUACAGGUGUCAUCCACCCCCAAAAGGGAGCACCUGAGAAUCCCCGAAGCCUCUGACCAAUACAGAAAAUGUUAUGCUGAGGGACAGAGCCAGUAGUUUCAACCAUAGCAGCAGCAGAAGCAAAAGAGAGAACCAGAUUUUGACCGGUCAGAGAGGUGAAGCAUCACCACUGUACAAAUAGGAUCCUCCAGGUUUUUCAAAAGAAGGGGAGGAACAGUUGUAUGUCAGCAGACUGAAGAGGUAUUUGGCAGAGUUUGAAUCAGCUCUAAAGUUGAGGAUCCGAUCCCAUCUUAACUCAAAGGAUGUAGCAAGAAGAAAUCAAACUUCACAAGAAGUUGAGGAUUUGAAAAAAGGAUGGCAUUCAUGUUUUGAAUUCCUGGAUUAAUGGCUCUGGAUGGAGUCCAUUUAAGAUUAAGACAGUAGCCAAGAGCCGUCCUUCCAGCCCCACACUGUGCAGACCUGGGAGAAAGGAGGAAGUGGUCCUCAUCCUAAGGAAUUUAAACUGUGAGAAAAGUGGUGAUGAGAUACAAGUCAUGCUAAUUUCAAGUGUUAAUGAAGCAGAAUCCAUCCCGAUGUGAAGGAUGGAGGCAAUGGAGCAAAUACCCUGAGAUGUUCUGUCAGACAUUGCCAUGCAACUCCUUCUCUCUGGCAGACGUGUUGCUCUUCAUUAUCACUUUGUCAAUCUGUAUAGCCCUUAGAUACCCAAGGGCAGUAUGGACACAACUUAAAGAUGGAGCAGGUGCUCUGAUGCCUUCUUGAGAAGGAUCACAAACGCUUCCAAGGGAUGUCUCAGUCCCCAUCUUCUGCUGCAGAAUAAGUACUUGCUGUGCAGCUCAUUUCUCAAGGUCGUUACAAAUGUCUGCUGGAGAGAUAGGAAGUUGUGGAGCAAAUGAGAAGGGACAGCACUGUCCUGUCAUUAACACGUUCAGAAGAAGUCGGAUAUCCCAGCAAGAUCACAGAAUCACAAGAGUUGGAAGGAACCUCAAGAGACUAUUGAAUCCAACCCCCCUGCUAAGGUCUGACCAACAGAAGGAGUGGCUGCAGUGCAUGCUGUGCCUUUAGUGCACUCCUCAACACGGCACCCAGAAAAUCAAAGUGUGGAAACUGACAGAAUAACCAUUGUGUCGCCCUUUAGCAACUAUCUGCUAAAACAUGGAGGUCGUUCUAUGAAGGGCAGCGUGCUGGAAUGCAAACAAGAAUGUGAAGUGUUUUGUAUGAAUGUGGAUUCUUCCAUUCCAAUACUAACUGGCUGUCAGCAGUUCUCUUUGAAGCUGGAGCACACUGGAGCUCAAUCACUGCACAAGGAUUAGAGACUCAUACGUUCUAAGGCAUUAGUAAAAAUAUAUUCCAGGUGGAUUCUGUCUCUUAAAUGCGUCAUUAUUAUUAAGGCAGUAGAGUUUUUUGGCGUGCAAUCUCUUCCAAAGCAUUGACUCAUGGGAGGAAGAGGGAGCAGCUUUUCCUUUUGCUCAGCAUGCAAGCCUCUGAUAAACAGGGUCUGCUGGGAUGUUCUGUCCAAGGAGAUUGAUCAGAGGUGUCGGAGCGAGCUGUGCUCAACUGGGCCUGGCAGCAAAACUGGGAGAGGCUCACAAUGAGGGUGAAAGGGAGGAGGAAAACCAGACGUUCUGCUUUUAUCAUUGUAAUGCCAUAGGGCUUUAAACAGCAAAAUCUGUGCUGGUAGGAAAGCCCAUGCCUAAAUAUCAGUACCAGCUUGGAUGAUAAAUAUGGACUAAGAGAAGGCUCCUAAGUAGAGACUUAAACUGACUGGUAUCCUCCAGGUGUGUAAACCUACUUAAAUCCUGAAAUAAAAACAGUGUACUUCAAAACUAAAUGCAACUGAAGAACAACACAGUGCAAAUUUCAAGUCUGCUCCUUUUCUUUCAGACUUGAGAAGAUCUGAUGGGCCUAAAAGCUUUCUAGUCUAAGUUUUCUAGCUGUGCUGCUUUGUUUCAGGCAGGAUAUCUGUGUUAGAGUUCCUUGUUCUUGGGGCCACGAUAUGAGUAAUAUCAGCAUCAAAAGAUGGUACGUUACCAGUUGCAAG